rnacentral:rRNA from 1 species
CAGCAGCCGCGGUAAUACAGAGGGUGCAAGCGUUGUUCGGAAUUAUUGGGCGUAAAGCGCGUGUAGGCGGCUUUGCAAGUCGGGUGUGAAGGCCCUCAGCUCAACUGAGGAAGUGCGCCCGAAACUGCAGAGCUUGAGUGCCGGAGAGGGUGGCGGAAUUCCCCAAGUAGAGGUGAAAUUCGUAGAUAUGGGGAGGAACACCGGUGGCGAAGGCGGCCACCUGGACGGUAACUGACGCUGAGACGCGAAAGCGUGGGGAGCAAACAGGAUUAGAUACCCUGGUAGUCCACGCCGUAAACGAUGAGAACUAGGUGUCGUGGGUGUUGACCCCCGCGGUGCCGUAGCUAACGCAUUAAGUUCUCCGCCUGGGAAGUACGGUCGCAAGACUAAAACUCAAAGGAAUUGAC